rnacentral:lncRNA from 1 species
UUUCAAGCAUCAUGAGUUUCAUGAGUAUGCAAUAGGUUGAUUGCAUUAGAAUCACGACUAUGAUGCAUUGCAUUGUUUAUUGAUGGUGUGGAUUGGACCCAGGCGACUUCAAUAGCCCAUGGAUCUGUUAUGUCUAGGUAAGACCUGUGUGAGCUCCACAGGAGGGGCCGGGCGCUAGUACAUGUAGUGACGAGCUCCGUAGGGGGCCG